GCCCCCGUAGCUCAAUGGAUAGAGCAACCGCCUUCUAAGCGGUCGAUCGAGGUUCGAUUCCCCGCGGGGGCA
rnacentral:tRNA from 1 species